GAUGAACGCUAGCGGGAGGCCUAACACAUGCAAGCCGAGCGGGAUUUGUUGGCUAGCUUGCUAACUAACAAUGAGAGCGGCGUACGGGUGCGUAGCACGUGUGCAACCUGCCUUUAUCUGGGGGAUAGCCUUUCGAAAGGAAGAUUAAUACCCCAUAACAUAUUGAUUGGCAUCAGUUAAUAUUGAAAGCUCCGGCGGAUAGAGAUGGGCACGCGUAAGAUUAGCUAGUUGGUGAGGUAACGGCUCACCAAGGCUGCGAUCUUUAGGGGGCCUGAGAGGGUGAUCCCCCACACUGGUACUGAGACACGGACCAGACUCCUACGGGAGGCAGCAGUGAGGAAUAUUGGACAAUGGGUGAGAGCCUGAUCCAGCCAUCCCGCGUGAAGGACUAAGGACCUAUGGUUUGUAAACUUCUUUUAUACAGGGAUAAACCUACUCUCGUGAGGGUAGCUGAAGGUACUGUAUGAAUAAGCACCGGCUAACUCCGUG
rnacentral:rRNA from 1 species